CAAUACCAUCAACCAAACUACCAAACCCAAACACAACACACUUCAUACCAACAACCAAACUUCCACACAAUAACACAACAAACACCUACUAACUACCCAUACCAAACACCAUAAAACCCAAUACACUACACUUCUCAAACCCAACAAUAACCAUACCUACGCCCCCCACAUAACUACACACCCAUCCCACCACCUAACUUUGAUUACUCUACU
rnacentral:lncRNA from 1 species